rnacentral:tRNA from 11 species
GGGGCUAUAGCGCAGUUGGGAGCGCGCUUGAAUGGCAUUCAAGAGGUCAGGGGUUCGAACCCCCUUAGCUCCACCA